rnacentral:tmRNA from 1 species
ACUGCAAACUAUUAGUUGCCAACGACGACAACUACGCCCUGGCGGCUUAAGCCCUGCCAGUCUCUCCCCCGGCUCGCCCAUGGGCUGGGAUAAGAGGGAUCAAAUCACAUGGGCUCGCGUGAUGGGGUGCUCGUGACCCACCAUGCUAAAACUAAGCGGGCUCGCCGGCCGUGACCCUGUCUGUCGGGGCACGUACGGUCAAAACGUUGACAGACUAAACAUGUAGUCGCCGGUGUGUGGCGGAUUUACGGACGCGGGUUCGAUUCCCGCCGCCUCCACCA